GCUCAAAAUUACAACGGUUAGGAUAAUUGCCUUCCAAGCAAUAGAUCUGGGUUCAACUCCCGGCAAACG
rnacentral:tRNA from 1 species